rnacentral:rRNA from 1 species
GACGAACGCUGGCGGCGUGCCUAAUACAUGCAAGUAGAACGCUGAAGCGAGGAGCUUGCUCUUCUUGGAUGAGUUGCGAACGGGUGAGUAACGCGUAGGUAACCUGCCUUGUAGCGGGGGAUAACUAUUGGAAACGAUAGCUAAUACCGCAUAACAAUGGAUGACACAUGUCAUUUAUUUGAAAGGGGCAAUUGCUCCACUACAAGAUGGACCUGCGUUGUAUUAGCUAGUAGGUGAGGUAACGGCUCACCUAGGCGACGAUACAUAGCCGACCUGAGAGGGUGAUCGGCCACACUGGGACUGGGACACGGCCCAGACUCCUACGGGAGGCAGCAGUAGGGAAUCUUCGGCAAUGGGGGCAACCCUGACCGAGCAACGCCGCGGGAGUGAAGAAGGUUUUCGGAUCGUAAAGCUCGGUUGUAAGUCAAGAACGAGUGUGAGAGUGGAAAGUUCACACUGUGACGGUAGCUUACCAGAAAGGGACGGCUAACUACGUG